CAAGUUGUUUGCUAACUAAAGAACUGGUUUGUGUUUUGUUUCUGUGAAAAUCUACACCCUUGGGAGCAGUACCUUUGUGUUAACAUCUCCUAAGUGUGUAAAGAAAAACACAGGAACCCGUGAUUUCAAGGAAACACGGAGUAGAUGAGUGCAGGAUUUGACGAGUUCGGAUCCCAUUUUGAGGCGUCUUUCUGCCAGAAACCACCUGAUGAUCUUGGGAACGCUACAUGCCAUCCCUAAAGGAAUCUCUGGGUGGAGUAGAAGCUGUCAUGACAAUAGACGCUGGAGAAGAAGAUACAAUCUCCUCAAUGAGAGACCUUGGCAACAGCCAGGCCAGUAAGGAGUGGCUGCUACUGCUACUGUUUCUUAGACUAUUGAUUAAGCUACUUGUAACCAUGGCAAUGAUCUUGUCUUCCUGGAAAGGUUAGCAGGGUAGGAUGGGCAGUCCACUAUGGUAAAAAAAGAAAUGUUGAAAUGAAGCAGUGCUCUUAACAGUUCUUUUCUCAUGUCACUGAACAGAAAUUGACAGUUUCUUACCCUAAACUUUUCAUCACUCUAAAGAAAAUCCACCCAGAUUCUUACACCACAUUCUCAAGGCAACAUGGGAAAGCUUCAAGGUACAGGGAAGAAGGGGACUGAGGUGAUAGGUACACAGCUCUUUUCUUCUACGGAAUUCGGAAUAUUGUUUUUAUUUGCUCUUCACUACAAAGGGAGCUAUCUCUUUGACUCCUACUGAUGAGAAAUGCAAGUUAAUUCUUCUGACAAAUAUUUGCUAUACAACUACUUAUUUGCACCUACUCGGAGUUACAACAGCUGAACUGCCUUGUUCUAGGAGGCUACUGUCUAAUUGUCUCCAGGCAGGAAGCCCAAGAGAGAAAGUCUUAGAGGAACUCCACUCAAGGGGAAUUUCAGUAAAUGCAGGGGCAGUUCAAAUGCAAGGUGAACCAUAAUUUACACACAUAUCCAUUGAUCAUGAGCAUUUGUGGCGAUUGCUAGAGACAUAAAAGUAAAUAAGAUACAUUUCCUGAGCACAAAAAAACUUUUGCCUAAUAAAAAGAGAAUACAAAGGUAAGAAACAUGGGCAUAUCUAAAAUAAUCAAAAUUAAAACAAAAACGUAACUUAAAACAACAAUUUGGAAUGGCCAGAGGAUCCUGUUUCACAAAGGUUUUGCAUAAAUUGAUUGGGAUAUGCUCUUGUCUUGUCCAAUCUUUCUUCUUGAAACCAUCUGAUUGAUUCGACUUCAUAGGUCCAACACUAUCUUAAAGCCCAAACCUCAAACUAUCUUGUGCUCCAUUUUUUCUAAUAUUCCUGUUAUCCCAUCACCUCACAGCCGAGAUGAGGCUAGGGAGGCUCACUUUGCUCUUGUGGCGUCUCCUUCUGAUGUCCCUGGCAUAAUACCCCUUCAAUCUGACUUGGUCUCCAGGACUCUGUCCUAAGUCUAGCCCAGGUGUUCAGUUUGUCCUGGUUUACACCAGGCUGUAGACAGAGAGUAUCACGCUGGCUCUAGCCCAAACCCCUACAGCUAUCAUCAGAAUUCUCUAAUCAUCUCUGCAACCUUCCUCUGUCCUACACAUCUUAGCAUUUUUGACUGAUAAGAUAGGGCACAAACCAUCAUAUUAGCUCAUUUUCCAAAAUUGAAUCUGGUCCUGUAGACCUUGGAAAAAUAAUUAUUUCUUUUCAUAAUAGGCUGUGACUAAAUCUGACAUGCCGGUGGACAAUGGCCCUUAAACCUUCAAAGAAAGCUACAAAACAAGUCGAAUAGUAACGAGUCCUAUUGAUAAAUUGUAGCUCUAAGCUGCAAAAGUGCUUAUUCCUGACCAAGAGCCCUGCAAUUUAUUUUACUUCAUUAGAUGCUGAAUCCUUCAAAAAAACUGCUGGAAUUCCAAAAGCUUUGAAUCUAAUUAUUAUAAGCAUGUUUAAUCAAACUUUUAAAACUACUUGGAGUCUAAUGCUGAAAUCUAGAUGAGAUUAUACCUCUCUGACAUGCAUAUGUUAAUAUAAUUCCAAAUCUCUGUGAAGACAUGAAAUAGACCAAACAUUUAAGACAAAGCAAUAGAGUACAUUCCAUUUUACAACAUUCUCCACAGAUAAUUCUUGUCCUGGCCAUUACUGACAUUCUAUUCAUCUUCUCCAGAAAAUCCAAUGUAAAGAAAACAAAAAAGAGCAUCUUAAUAAUAGAGCUACAAAUAAAAACUAUAAUCUUAGCUUUGGAAAAGGCUUUGCAAGCUCAAUUCAUUGUGUGAUGUCUGGAUUACCUCUACUAUACUCAUGUCAGGGAAUCAUCCAACCUACACAUGAAUAUUUUCAGCCUCAUGGUGUUGUCAAUUCCAUCUCUGCAUAUCCCUGAAAAGGCUUCCGCCUUUUCUUAUAUAAACUUCUUUUAUAACAAUUUUGAGCUCAUAUUCACACAUAAGUGCACGCUGCAUAAGAUGAGGUUCAAGAACUGAACACACAGCCUAAUUCAAUUUGGAAAGGGCCCCGUGAGCCACUCGGUAUAUAUUUCACAAGUGUCCUCAUGCUCUAAAGCCAAGAACAAGUUAACAACAGCUAAAUUUCAAAUUCUUGCCAGAGGCACCCAAAGGCAGUGCUUCCUCAACUUUUCAGUCCAGGACAUCCCUAUGAUCACUGUUACAGUAUUCCUUUGAUGGUCACGGUAGUAGCAGGAAGCAGACUCUCUCUAUUCUUUAGUUACUUAGUUCAGUCCUCUUCUUGGCCGCACGAGCCUGCAUAAGCACUCACUGAGCACAUGUAAACACAUACACACAAGCACACAGACUGGGUGUUCCAUAAGCAAAACUCACACGCAUGCAUACACCCACAGACACACACAUGCACACACACACACAGAAAAACUUCCUUUCUUUCUCUGCUAUGGUCACCACCAUCUCUACACUUUAACUUCUAAGUUAUAACUGGACAAACCUCUCUUGAGGACACCCUAAAUGAACAUCCCACAUCCUGUCAGUUCAACAAUGUUUUAUUGAAAUCCAAUAUUUUAACACCCUGACUGGAUGACAGAAAACACCUGAGCGCAUCCUUCCUGGUGAAGGCAGACAGCUGGGGAGAGCUGGGGAGAGCUGGAGAAAUCAAAGUCCUCCAGCUUGGAGGGCUCCAGAGAUCCACAUUUCUCACUUGACACAAAAUAACUUAUUUUGUUCAUGUGGUAAAGAAAGCCUCUGGCUGGCAAGACCAGGACACUGGGACAAGUGUCCUUUGGAUCUUCCCUAAAGCAAGGUCUGAUGAAGAGAAAGCAGAGUGGGAUGGUUAAGUUACAGGCAAAACUCAGAAUGAAGGCAGUGGGUGAGGCCAAAUGGUGCUUUCACUGCAAAAUGGAGUCAGAAACUACAGAUUUCCAAGAAAUGUCUUAAUUUUAUUUUACUUUUUUUUUUUUGCAUUUUAUUGUUUCAUUUAUUUCACUAUGGUGAAAGAAGUGAAAUCCUUAAAAUAAAAAAGCAUCUAUGUGUGUAAUUGGUUGGAAGGAAAAUAGGGCUUUUAAGAUCAAGUCUAUCAUGCAGGCUAAUGAACCCCCAAAAUGCAAAAGGAAGUGUAGGGUAUAAGGGGAGGGCACUACAGAAGAAUCUGAGAUGCUAAGACCCUGUUGUCCUUUGACCUACGUCUUUGCUUUAUUGGUUACUCCUUUCUUUGGCUUCCAGAGAAACCCUCAAUGAAAGUGAGAACAUAGAUUGUCUUUCGAAUCUAGUUUGACAUUUUUCAACAACCUUCCCACUUUUGCUCGCACAACUCUAGAAGAGAAGAAUUUUAAAAACUGGCAUGCACUGUGAGAUCUGGAAUUUACAGAACUCCCCCACUAAGAAAAUCAACUUUGGAAAACCCAGCUAAGGAGGGGAAAAUACUUCCUCUAAAACGGUACAUGCCAAAGAACUUUUCAUGGGCCUCCUGGAGAGGGUAAUAGGUCUUCCAUGCAUGGAUGUUUGUAGGGUCUAAUCAGGAUGGGAAACACUGAGUUAAAUCGAGUGAAAUGGGUUUAUUUUCAACUCCACUUAAUUUGCUGUUGUCUAUUAUAAAUUUCCAAGCAGGAGUAGGAACCUCAUAUGCACAGAAACCUCUGUCUGAGAAAGAAGCACUAACAGAAGAGUUACAGGUCUCAGUUCACAGUGAUUUAAGCCAGACAAAGUCUCAGGGUCUUUCAAAUAUGUUUAGUGUUCUUCUUCUUCUAAAGAUAAAGUGGCCCAAAUGACAGCUCUUGCUUUGCUGAACAACUUCACCUUUUAAUCCUUUCUUUCUUUUCUCCCAUAAUUGAACAAAUACCAAUUGAGCAUCUAUGUGCAAAUCAUCCUGUCUUAAUUUAAAACAAAACCAAAAUAAUAACCAAAGUACCUACUCAAGGCAAAUGUUUUUUAAAGAAGAAACAAACCACAGAAAGUAUAUUGUAUUUAUUCCCAAUAUAAUAGCUUACAUUUAAAGAUACAGUACAGACUUAACGAAUAUGUCUACUCCCACUAAUUCCACAGAUACAUGCUGAACCCAUAAUAUUUACUCAUGCAAAUAACCAAUAAGGGACAAAACAGCUUUAGGCCAAAAGGUGGCCUGGUCCUGUCAACAGGAAGGUUAGCAGUGAGGUUCAGAGGCCAGUCUUUGAUUCCAGGCUCAGACGUCUCACACGUAAAAUAUAGAUAAUUAUAUAGUGUUUGCCUUGUAGAAAUCAUAUAUGGAUUUAAUAAGAUGAUUUCAGUAAAACACAUAGCAGACAGUGAGCCCUGAAUAAAUAGCAAGUAUUAUUAUUAUUGGUUAUACUUAUCAACUCUAGUUUAAACAGGAAUUUUAUUCCUCCUCCGAAACAGUAGGAUGAUGACAUCUUAAAUAAUGAGCUUUUCUGAAAUUAGGGACACUUUCAGAGGUUUCUUGUCCUGCUGGAAAGCACAGCCACCUUUCCAUGAACAAAAAUGGUCUCAGAACUGUUAGUUCCUUGCCCCUGAGAACUGGGUGGUCAGCAAGAAGUGAAGCAAUUAGUGUGUGAUUCCACCCACUCACAUUCCUCCUAGUUAAAACUUCAUAACUACUUUCAAUUGUAUGAAAGAGCAAUAAAGUGAGGCCGGGGAGAGAGAAAGAAAGAG